GGGCAUGUAGCUCAGAGGUUAGAGCACGUGACUAUGAAAUGAACUGCGGGGGUUCGAAUCCCUCCUCGCCCACAACC
rnacentral:tRNA from 1 species